AAAAAAUAAAAUAAAACUAACAUGUCUAUUUGUUUCAAUCAAUGAGUUUAAAAUGAUAUUUUAAUCGACUAUUGAUACUAGUAGGUAAUAGCAAUCAUCAUCUUUUUGAAAUAAUCAAGUAAAAAACAAAGGUUUAAAAUAAUAUUAAAUGUAACAAUUUGUUUUAAAAACCUAAGAAACAAUAACAAUCAAACAAACAGCAAACAGAGAAUACGAUAAAAUCCAGCUGAGCAGUUUCAUCAGGACAAGAACAUUUGUCCAUAGGAAGGUUGGUUAUUUCAAUCAAAUUAUUGUUUUUUUUUAAGGGGAUUGAUGUUUUGAAGCUAUA